rnacentral:piRNA from 1 species
UAAUCUAUUCUAAUGUUACUC